rnacentral:rRNA from 1 species
AUUGAACGCUGGCGGCACGCCUUACACAUGCAAGUCGAACGGCAGCAUGGAGAGCUUGCUCUCUGAUGGCGAGUGGCGAACGGGUGAGUAAAGCAUCGGAACGUACCGUGUAGUGGGGGAUAACGUAGCGAAAGUUACGCUAAUACCGCAUACGCACUGAGGUGGAAAGCAGGGGAUCGUAAGACCUUGCGCGGUACGAGCGGCCGAUGUCAGAUUAGCUGGUUGGCGGGGUAAAGGCCUACCAAGGCGACGAUCUGUAGCGGGUCUGAGAGGAUGGUCGGCCACACUGGGACUGAGACACGGCCCAGACUCCUACGGGAGGCAGCAGUGGGGAAUUUUGGACAAUGGGGGCAGCCCUGAUCCAGCCAUGCGGCGUGAGUGAAGAAGGCCUUCGGGUUGUAAAGCUCUUUCGGCCGGGAAGAAGUCGCACAGGCUAAUACCCUGUGUGGAUGACGGUACCGGCAUAAGAAGCACCGGCUAACUACGUGCCAGCAGCCGCCGCCG